rnacentral:rRNA from 1 species
CGGGGUGCAGCAGGCGCGAAAACUUUACAAUGCCGGCAACGGCGAUAAGGGAACCUCGAGUGCCAGGUUACAAAUCUGGCUGUCGUGAUGCCUAAAAAGCAUUGCAUAGCAAGGGCCGGGCAAGACCGGUGCCAGCCGCCGCGGUAACACCGGCGGCUCGAGUGGUAACCGUUAUUAUUGGGUCUAAAGGGUCUGUAGCCGGCCGGGUAAGUCUCUUGGGAAAUCUGGCAGCUUAACUGUCAGGCUUUCAGGAGAUACUGCCUGGCUCGAGGCCGGGAGAGGUGAGAGGUACUUCAGGGGUAGGGGUGAAAUCUUGUAAUCCUUGAAGGACCACCAGUGGCGAAGGCGUCUCACCAGAACGGACCUGACGGCAAGGGACGAAAGCUAGGGGCACGAACCGGAUUAGAUACCCGGGUAGUCCUAGCCGUAAACGAUACUCGCUAGGUGUCGGCCACGGUGCGACCGUGGUCGGUGCCGUAGGGAAGCCGUGAAGCGAGCCACCUGGGAAGUACGGCCGCAAGGCUGAAACUUAAAGGAAUUGGCGGGGG